UACAGAGGUGGCAAGCGUUGUUCGGAAUUACUGGGCGUAAAGGGCGCGUAGGCGGCCUUCUAAGUCAGACGUGAAAUCCCUCGGCUUAACCGGGGAACUGCGUCUGAUACUGGAUGGCUUGAGUUUGGGAGAGGGACGCGGAAUUCCAGGUGUAGCGGUGAAAUGCGUAGAUAUCUGGAGGAACACCGGUGGCGAAGGCGGCGUCCUGGACCAACACUGACACUGAGGAGCGAAAGCCAGGGGAGCAAACGGG
rnacentral:rRNA from 1 species